UACGUAGGCAGCGAGCGUUGUUCGGAGUUACUGGGCGUAAAGAGUGCGUAGGCGGUUUUCUAAGUUUGGUGUGAAAUCUCCCGGCUCAACUGGGAGGGUGCGCCGAAGACUGGAAGGCUUGAGUAUGGGAGAGGUAAGCGGAAUUCCUGGUGUAGCGGUGAAAUGCGUAGAUAUCAGGAGGAACACCUGCGGUGUAGACGGCUUACUGGACCAUAACUGACGCUGAGACGCGAAAGCGUGGGGAGCGAACCGG
rnacentral:rRNA from 1 species